rnacentral:lncRNA from 1 species
AAGAAAGUGGUUGAGCAGAUUCUAAGAGGCAUUAAGAGCUCCACCAACCCUUGAAGAGUGAAGCAAUCUUGACAAAGAAGAGAAGAGUCUUAUCAAAGCGAUAACUAUAUUCUAAACUCUUUUUUGUAGCUCAUAAUUGUUAUAUUUGCUCAUCUAAGAGUUUCAACUCUCUUCCUCUUAAUCAAUUUGUAAGGUUUGUUGGUGAGCCCGUAAAACCAACGGUGUAGGUUUGUUGGUGAACCCGUAAAACCAACGGUGAGGGUUUGUUGGUGAGACCGUAAAACCAAUAUAGAUUUUUGGUGAUCCCGAAAAACCAAAG